rnacentral:rRNA from 1 species
AACGAACGCUGGCGGCAGGCUUAACACAUGCAAGGCGAGCGCCCCGCAAGGGGAGCGGCAGACGGGUGAGUAAAGCGUGGGAAUCUACCCAUCUCUACGGAAUAACGCAUGGAAACGUGUGCUAAUAACGUAUACGUCCUUCCGGAGAAAGAUUUAUCGGAGAUGGAUGAGCCCUCGUUGGAUUAGCUAGUUGGUGGGGUAACUGCCUACCAAGGCGACGAUCCAUAGCUGGUCUCCGAGGAUAAUCAACCACACUGGGACUGAGACACGGCCCAGACUCCUACGGGAGGCAGCAGUGGGGAAUAUUGAACAAUGGGCGCAAGCCUGAUCCAGCCAUGCCGCGUGAGUGAUGAAGGCCCUAGGGUUGUAAAGCUCUUUCACCGGUGAAGACAAUGACGGUAACCGGAGAAGAAGCCCCGGCUAACUUCGUGCCAGCCGCCGCAGUAAAAC